GGACAGCUUCAGUUGUUUAAGCUGAAUUUUGGAACGAUAACUCUUCUUCCUAAGAAGACAGAGGUUGUUCGCAUUGAGCAGCUCAGGCCUAUAUGUCUACUUAAUGUGAGUUUCAAAAUAUUCACCAAGGUUGGGACGAACAGACUUACGCAGAUUCCGCACUCUGUAGUUCAUCCGUCCCAGACUGCUUUCAUGCCUGAUAGAAAUAUCCUUGAAGGGGUUGUUGUCUUGCAUGAGACGCUCCAUGAGAUCCACUCAAAAAAGCUUGAUGGCGUAGUUUUUAAAGUGGAUUUUGAAAAAGCAUAUGAUAAAGUUAAAUGGCCUUUCCUUCAAUAA
rnacentral:rRNA from 1 species